rnacentral:rRNA from 1 species
UACAGAGGGGGCAAGCGUUGUUCGGAAUUACUGGGCGUAAAGGGUGCGUAGGCGGGUCUUUAAGUCAGGGGUGAAAUCCUGGAGCUCAACUCCAGAACUGCCUUUGAUACUGAGGAUCUUGAGUACGGGAGAGGUGAGUGGAACUGCGAGUGUAGAGGUGAAAUUCGUAGAUAUUCGCAAGAACACCAGUGGCGAAGGCGGCUCACUGGCCCGUUACUGACGCUGAGGCACGAAAGCGUGGGGAGCAAACAGG